UAUGAAAAUAUCAUGUUUCUGUGUUCCUCCAUGGUUCGAUAACAAAGAGACAUGCCCCUUGUGUUGUACAAGUAUUACUAAAUAUAUGUAUGUAAGCUUUGCUGGAGUUGCUAUAUUUUCUUUGUAAUUUGAAUUCUUAAGAUGCAUGAUUUCAACAAUCACAUGCAAGUACUUAGUAACGUUUGAUAUUGUGUUUUGGCUGCUAAUCUUAAUAGUUACAUGGCUACACCAAC
rnacentral:lncRNA from 1 species